GGGGGUAUAGCUCAGUGGUAGAGCUUUUGAUUGCAGAUCAAGAGGUCCCUAGUUCAACUUUGGGUGCCCACU